CCUACGGGAGGCAGCAGUGGGGAAUAUUGGACAAUGGGCGAAAGCCUGAUCCAGCCAUGCCGCGUGUGUGAAGAAGGCCUUCGGGUUGUAAAGCACUUUCAGUGGGGAAGAAAGCCUUGGGGCUAAUACCCUCGAGGAAGGACAUCACCCACAGAAGAAGCACCGGCUAACUCCGUGCCAGCAGCCGCGGUAAUACGGAGGGUGCGAGCGUUAAUCGGAAUUACUGGGCGUAAAGCGCGCGUAGGCGGUCUGAUAAGCCGGUUGUGAAAGCCCCGGGCUCAACCUGGGAACGGCAUCCGGAACUGUCAGGCUAGAGUGCAGGAGAGGAAGGUAGAAUUCCCGGUGUAGCGGUGAAAUGCGUAGAGAUCGGGAGGAAUACCAGUGGCGAAGGCGGCCUUCUGGACCGACACUGACGCUGAGGUGCGAAAGCGUGGGGAGCAAACAGGACUAGAUACCCGGGUAGUC
rnacentral:rRNA from 1 species